rnacentral:rRNA from 1 species
UACGAAGGUCCCGAGCGUUAUCCGGAUUUACUGGGCGUAAAGCGUCUGUAGCCUGAUAAGUAAGUCUGUUUUUAAAAGCCCCGACUCAAUCGGGGAGCAGGAAUAGAUACUAUUUAACUAGAGGUUGUUAGAGGUUAGUGGAAUUUCCGGUGGAGCGGUGAAAUGUGUUGAUAUCGGAAAGAAUGCCAAAAGCGAAAGCAGCUAACUAUAGCAAACCUGACGGUGAGAGACGAAAGUUUGGGUAGCAAACAGG